ACCUCUGUGGCACAGUGGGUCAGUGCCUCUGGCUGUUAACCAGAAGGCUGGUGGAUUGAGCCCACCCAAGGCA